rnacentral:rRNA from 1 species
AUGAAAAUAGAUAUAUCAAAGGCUUUUGAUUCCUUGUCCUGGUAAUUCCUAUUGGAGAUCUUGCAGGUCAGAGGUUUUAAAAACAAAUGGUGCUCCUGGAUUUGCGGUCUUCUGAGCUCAGCCUCAUCUUCGGUUCUCAUCAAUGGG